rnacentral:rRNA from 1 species
AUUGAACGCUGGCGGCAGGCCUAACACAUGCAAGUCGAACGAGUGGCGGACGGGUGAGUAAUGUCUGGGAAACAGCCUGAUGGAGGGGGAUAAAUACUGGAAACGGUAGCUAAUACCGCAUCCCAUCGGAUGUGCCCAGAUGGGAUUAGCUAGUAGGUGGGGUCAAGGCUCACCUAGGCGACGAUCCCUAGCUGGUCGGAGAGGAUGACCAGCCACACUGGAACUGAGACACGGUCCAGACUCCUACGGGAGGCAGCAGUGGGGAAUAUGGCACAAGGGGCGCAAGCCUGAGGCAGCCGUGCCGAGUGUAUGAAGAAGGCCUUCGGGUUGUAAAGUACUUUCAGCGGGGAUGCGUUACCCGCAGAAGAAGCACCGGCUAACUCCGUGCCAGCCGCCGCGGUAAUUC